rnacentral:rRNA from 2 species
UAGGGAAUCUUCGACAAUGGACGAAAGUCUGACCGAGCAACGCCGCGUGAGUGAAGAAGGUUUUCGGAUCGUAAAACUCUGUUGUUAGAGAAGAACAAGGACGUUAGUAACUGAACGUCCCCUGACGGUAUCUAACCAGAAAGCCACGGCUAACUACGUGCCAGCAGCCGCGGUAAUACGUAGGUGGCAAGCGUUGUCCGGAUUUAUUGGGCGUAAAGCGAGCGCAGGCGGUUUCUUAAGUCUGAUGUGAAAGCCCCCGGCUCAACCGGGGAGGGUCAUUGGAAACUGGGAGACUUGAGUGCAGAAGAGGAGAGUGGAAUUCCAUGUGUAGCGGUGAAAUGCGUAGAUAUAUGGAGGAACACCAGUGGCGAAGGCGGCUCUCUGGUCUGUAACUGACGCUGAGGCUCGAAAGCGUGGGGAGCAAACAGG